ensembl:lncRNA
AAAAAUUGCUGAAUUGUUCUAAAUGAUCAGAAUACCAGAAAGAACCCCACAGAAUUGUGAAUGCAGUAUUAAACUAUAACAGGUACACUCACCUUAAAAAACAUCAGGAGGUCAUUUCAGAGACUUGCAGUACUUCUGUUCAGUGUUUUUAAGACUUUGAGAUCCGUCUGCAAUCUCUGAUCCAGUUCCUUCGGCGUUCCAGUAAACUUCAGGACGUCCUGGUGAAGGAUUACUGUGCUGUGGGACAAAGAGAGAGCCGAAUCUCACGGUAAACUCCGUGAACUCAUUUGAUCGCAUCUGUGUUGUGCGUCUUCGCGCGUCGCGCCGCUUCUUUGAUUACACUCGGUUACGCACUGGACGCUCUGCUUUCCACCAUUUUAUUUACACAUGUAAAGAGGGAAAGCAACUUGAGAAGUGUCAAAAUCACCGACUGGAAUUUCGGAAUGUAAAUUAAGUUUGUACGCGGAACGAUAAAACAGCGAUUUGGAACGAGGGACGUUUGGAUGUGGACUUUCGCGUCUGUUUGUUCCAUCAACGCCCAUCUCCACGUGCCUGCUGAGGGAAAAUCACCGUGUAAAACAUGUUUAAGCCUUAUUUCGCUCAGCAUGUGUAUCAGUUGAGAGGAAAGUUGUAUUUUGCAGCUGGAAUCUCAUGUUGACCCGAGAGCACAGCUGUGUUUCCAGCACAUCGCAGACAGACAGGUGAUGUUUCUGCAACAGUGACGUGAUCAAUCAGAGGUCCUCCAGAAAGGGCUCUGUCACAGGUGUCACUCACAAACAAACAUGCUGCCCCAGCUCGAGUUCACGGAGGCCGUCUGUCCCGCUGUGAACUCUGGGAGCUUUUACCUGCGCGUGUCUAGCGUGGCGCUUGUGUUUGGAGACAAAGAGGGAGGAUCAGCCCUGAUGACCCAGAAAGACGCUCGCGGAUGGGCCUAAUUAGAUUAGCCCAGUGUGACGAACGGGGGAUGACGUCAUGGCUCCGCUGGCCCGGUCAUGUGACCGGAUAAAACUGUUGGAGGCUGUCAGGUUUCUCCUUUUAUCACACGACCGGUCAUCCCAGUAGAGAUGCAACAUCUGUAUUUCAUUGCCGCUGGAGUAAUGAUAAACACACUCUCACAUCUGAUCCAAAACCCACAUCGCACGGAUGAAGCUCAACCAUCAUGGAAUGGAACGCACAGGAUUGUGGGAUAUCAAAGACAGCGAAGGAUACAUCAACGCUGCCUUCAAAAUUCGAUCAUAAGAAGGUACCGCCAGAGACAGGAAGUAAAGCAGAAUUUGGAUUCGAACGUGCCUUUAUGUCUUCCUGUCUUGGAAUGCUGCUUAUGAAGACCGCAUUUUAUAGUUUUAGGAUGCAGCCAAGGUCUUGCAGUCUCCACUUAUAAGCUGAUGAGUUAAAUCGGGCAAGUUCAAGCUCAAACCGGUGUGCACCGUUUUGCUACGGUUUCUGGUUUGAACGACAUGUUUCCUGGAAACGGUGUGCAACGUUUUCUCUUGUUUGGUGGGUGUGUCAAAAAUGUCAGCCCAAUCAGCAGCAACAUGUAUAUAAACCACAAGGUGUUAAAGAGACAGCUCACACAAUAUAUUGUUUGCAUGUUUAUUUAUAUUAAAGGCAAAAUAACUAAAAUAAUAAGAGCACAAGUAUAGAUCUGGAACUUCUUUAAGUCUGUCUAAAUAUCAUUUAGUAUUGCAAUGUCUUCUGGUCUUCCUUGGGAAGCUGUGAUAGACACUGAUUAAUGUAACAUAAAUACUAUACACAUUUAUAUAUUUUGCUAUUGUAUUGUGGAGUGACAAUUUCAUAAACUUUUCUAUACUCUGAUUAAAUAAUGGUAAAUAUUACAAUAAUGUAGCACAACAACAGUGAUCAGCAAUAAGGAUAAGCCUAAUACUCACAAUAAAAAUAAUAAGGUCAUAUAGAUCAUAACACAGUCUCGGAGGUAAGAAGUGGAUU